CUGGUUGAUCCUGCCAGACCUGACUGCUAUCGGAUUGGUACUAAGCCAUGCGAGUCAUAGUAGCAAUACUAGGCAGACGGCUCAGUAACACGUCAUCAACCUAACCUAUGGACGCGGAUAACCUCGGGAAACUGAGAAUAAACCGCGAUAGAUCAUUAUACCUGGAAUGGUUUAUGGUCGAAACAGUUUACUGCCACAGGAUGGGACUGCGGCCUAUCAGCUUGUUGGUGAGGUAAUGGCCCACCAAGGCUAUAACAGGUACGGGCUCUGAGAGGAGAAGCCCGGAGAUGGGUACUGAGACACGGACCCAGGCCCUAUGGGGCGCAGCAGGCGAGAAACCUUAGCAAUGUGCGAAAGCACGACUGGGUCAGUCCGAGUGAUUCCUGCUAAAGGAAUCUUUUGCUUGUCCUAAAAGCACAGGUGAAUAAGGGGUGGGCAAGUCUGGUGUCAGCCGCCGCGGUAAUACCAGCACCUCGAGUGGUCAGGACGUUUAUUGGGCCUAAAGCAUCCGUAGCCGGUUUUGCAAGUCUCCGGUUAAAUCCACCUGCUCAACACAUGGGCUGCUGGAGAUACUACAAAACUAGGGAGUGGGAGAGGCAGACGGUAUUCAGUGGGUAGGGGUAAAAUCCUCUGAUCCUCUGAGGACCACCAGUGGCGAAGGCGGUCUGCCAGAACACGUUCGACGGUGAGGGAUGAAAGCUGGGGGAACAAACCGGAUUAGAUACCCGGGUAGUCCCAGCUGUAAACGAUGCAAACUCGGUGAUGCGUUGGUUUAUGGCCAACGCAGUGCCGCAGGGAAGCCGUUAAGUUUGCCGCCUGGUAAGUACGGACGCAAGUCUGAAACUUAAAGGGAUUGGCGGGGGAGCACCAC
rnacentral:rRNA from 1 species